UUCUGAGUGGAAGUGCUUGGUCAGGGACUGGGAAUAACAUGUCCCACAACUCCUCAAAAUACCUGCAUCUCCUGCCUUUUUAAAGACGCUGCAGCAAACUCUCUUCCCUUGAACCCACUCUACACUGGAGAAUUAAAGAAAAUGGGUUCAGUGGAGGAAAUAAAUCAAGAAGGUUCCCACCCUCAGGAUUAUGCUUUAGGAGAUGUUUGGGGGAAAAUCCAUAACUGAAUCAAGGUGAUUGGAUUUUCAGUCUGGUUGUUACCUAAUCCCAUCAAGGACUCCCUACCUGUAGCAAUAAAUAGGGCCAUGCAGA
rnacentral:lncRNA from 1 species